CAUAUCCUCCAAUUCAAUACGAGCUAUUAGGUCGUAAAUUCAUACACCAAAUUACGACACAUAAGAACGUAUGUUAAAGCAAAGCCCGAGCGACCCUUCGUCUUUCGUCACCCAUCAGUAAUUUACGGAGGUUGACGAAGUGGCGAACGCUGUGUCCCUAUUAAUUCCAGGUCACUAUUUACUUCGCUCAAACAUGGCGCCUUGUGUCAUCGUGUGGGUUUUUGGAAGCAUUUUAGAUGAGCAAGAAAAGAUGCCUACUCAAAAAAAUGUUGGCAGUGCCAGAAGAUGAUUGGGGUGGCUUCUAAAACAUGCCAACACUGUGGCAGCAAACAGCACCACAAAGAGAGGCUGCAAAAACAAAAAGAAAAAUUUUCCAAGGAAUGGAAAGAGCGUCAAAAGAAGAACAGCAGCAUCAAUAAAGUCUACGAUUCAACAAGUUUGCUGCUUCAUAAGUGGCAGCUUUUGGAGAGGCAUCCCAUCCGC